rnacentral:pre_miRNA from 1 species
AUGGGAAUCACCUGGGAGUUUGUUAAAAUGCAGAUUCUGAUUCAGUAGACCUGGAGUGGGGCCCAAAAUUCUACAUUUCUAAUAAACUCCCAGCUGAUGGUGAU